rnacentral:rRNA from 1 species
CCUACGGGCGGCAGCAGUGAGGAAUAUUGGUCAAUGGCCGCAGGGCUGAACCAGCCAAGUCGCGUGAGGGAUGACGGUCCUAUGGAUUGUAAACCUCUUUUGUCAGGGAGCAAAGUGCGCCACGUGUGGCGCUUUGCGAGUACCUGAAGAAUAAGCAUCGGCUAACUCCGUGCCAGCAGCCGCGGUAAUACGGAGGAUGCGAGCGUUAUCCGGAUUUAUUGGGUUUAAAGGGUGCGCAGGCGGAAUGUCAAGUCAGCGGUAAAAUUUCGGGGCUCAACCCCGUCGUGCCGUUGAAACUGGCGUUCUUGAGUGAGCGAGAAGUAUGCGGAAUGCGUGGUGUAGCGGUGAAAUGCAUAGAUAUCACGCAGAACUCCGAUUGCGAAGGCAGCAUACCGGCGCUCAACUGACGCUCAUGCACGAAAGCGUGGGUAUCGAACAGGAUUAGAUACCCGAGUAGUC